rnacentral:rRNA from 1 species
UAUCCUGUCUGAAUAUGGGGGGACCAUCCUCCAAGGCUAAAUACUCCUGACUGACCGAUAGUGAACCAGUACCGUGAGGGAAAGGCGAAAAGAACCCCGGCGAGGGGAGUGAAAAAGAACCUGAAACCGUGUACGUACAAGCAGUGGGAGCACAGAGCAAUCUGUGUGACUGCGUACCUUUUGUAUAAUGGGUCAGCGACUUAUAUUCUGUAGCAAGGUUAACCGAAUAGGGGAGCCGAAGGGAAACCGAGUCUUAACUGGGCGUUAAGUUGCAGGGUAUAGACCCGAAACCCGGUGAUCUAGCCAUGGGCAGGUUGAAGGUUGGGUAACACUAACUGGAGGACCGAACCGACUAAUGUUGAAAAAUUAGCGGAUGACUUGUGGCUGGGGGUGAAAGGCCAAUCAAACCGGGAGAUAGCUGGUUCUCCCCGAAAGCUAUUUAGGUAGCGCCUCGUGAAUUCAUCUCCGGGGGUAGAGCACUGUUUCGGCAAGGGGGUCAUCCCGACUUACCAACCCGAUGCAAACUGCGAAUACCGGAGAAUGUUAUCACGGGAGACACACGGCGGGUGCUAACGUCCGUCGUGAAGAGGGAAACAACCCAGACCGCCAGCUAAGGUCCCAAAGUCAUGGUUAAGUGGGAAACGAUGUGGGAAGGCCCAGACAGCCAGGAUGUUGGCUUAGAAGCAGCCAUCAUUUAAAGAAAGCGUAAUAGCUCACUGGUCGAGUCGGCCUGCGCGGAAGAUGUAACGGGGCUAAACCAUGCACCGAAGCUGCGGCAGCGACGCUGAUGCGUUGUUGGGUAGGGGAGCGUUCUGUAAGCCUGUGAAGGUGUGCUGUGAGGCAUGCUGGAGGUAUCAGAAGUGCGAAUGCUGACAUAAGUAACGAUAAAGCGGGUGAAAAGCCCGCUCGCCGGAAGACCAAGGGUUCCUGUCCAACGUUAAUCGGGGCAGGGUGAGUCGACCCCUAAGGCGAGGCCGAAAGGCGUAGUCGAUGGGAAACAGGUUAAUAUUCCUGUACUUGGUGUUACUGCGAAGGGGGGACGGAGAAGGCUAUGUUGGCCGGGCGACGGUUGUCCCGGUUUAAGCGUGUAGGCUGGUUUUCCAGGCAAAUCCGGAAAAUCAAGGCUGAGGCGUGAUGACGAGGCACUACGGUGCUGAAGCAACAAAUGCCCUGCUUCCAGGAAAAGCCUCUAAGCAUCAGGUAACAUCAAAUCGUACCCCAAACCGACACAGGUGGUCAGGUAGAGAAUACCAAGGCGCUUGAGAGAACUCGGGUGAAGGAACUAGGCAAAAUGGUGCCGUAACUUCGGGAGAAGGCACGCUGAUAUGUAGGUGAAGUCCCUCGCGGAUGGAGCUGAAAUCAGUCGAAGAUACCAGCUGGCUGCAACUGUUUAUUAAAAACACAGCACUGUGCAAACACGAAAGUGGACGUAUACGGUGUGACGCCUGCCCGGUGCCGGAAGGUUAAUUGAUGGGGUCAGCGCAAGCGAAGCUCUUGAUCGAAGCCCCGGUAAACGGCGGCCGUAACUAUAACGGUCCUAAGGUAGCGAAAUUCCUUGUCGGGUAAGUUCCGACCUGCACGAAUGGCGUAAUGAUGGCCAGGCUGUCUCCACCCGAGACUCAGUGAAAUUGAACUCGCUGUGAAGAUGCAGUGUACCCGCGGCAAGACGGAAAGACCCCGUGAACCUUUACUAUAGCUUGACACUGAACAUUGAGCCUUGAUGUGUAGGAUAGGUGGGAGGCUUUGAAGUGUGGACGCCAGUCUGCAUGGAGCCGGCCUUGAAAUACCACCCUUUAAUGUUUGAUGUUCUAACGUUGACCCGUUAUCCGGGUUGCGGACAGUGUCUGGUGGGUAGUUUGACUGGGGCGGUCUCCUCCUAAAGAGUAACGGAGGAGCACGAAGGUUGGCUAAUCCUGGUCGGACAUCAGGAGGUUAGUGCAAUGGCAUAAGCCAGCUUGACUGCGAGCGUGACGGCGCGAGCAGGUGCGAAAGCAGGUCAUAGUGAUCCGGUGGUUCUGAAUGGAAGGGCCAUCGCUCAACGGAUAAAAGGUACUCCGGGGAUAACAGGCUGAUACCGCCCAAGAGUUCAUAUCGACGGCGGUGUUUGGCACCUCGAUGUCGGCUCAUCACAUCCUGGGGCUGAAGUAGGUCCCAAGGGUAUGGCUGUUCGCCAUUUAAAGUGGUACGCGAGCUGGGUUUAGAACGUCGUGAGACAGUUCGGUCCCUAUCUGCCGUGGGCGCUGGAGAACUGAGGGGGGCUGCUCCUAGUACGAGAGGACCGGAGUGGACGCAUCACUGGUGUUCGGGUUGUCAUGCCAAUGGCACUGCCCGGUAGCUAAAUGCGGAAGAGAUAAGUGCUGAAAGCAUCUAAGCACGAAACUUGCCCCGAGAUGAGUUCUCCCUGACUCCUUGAGAGUCCUGAAGGAACGUUGAAGACGACGACGUUGAUAGGCCGGGUGUGUAAGCGCAGCGAUGCGUUGAGCUAACCGGUACUAAUGAACCGUGAGG